GGACCUGCUUAUUGGGAACAGAGACAUAGUGAAAUACUGCAGUCCGACAGCACAAUUCAUCAGACAAUGUCAAAGCACUUUACACAGAUGGAGCCGCUGAAAAGUGCUGGGACAGCUCUUGUGAUUAAAGUCCUGCAGAUUUUAUCCAGAGAAGAGGUACCGCCUGCCCCGCAUUGUCCUGGCAAUGUGCUUCACUCUUGUUCUGGAGGGCCACCCAUAGAGGUGAGAAGGAACUGCAGACUCCAUGGGCCAUUUAGGGAGCAACAACAACAGGGUCUGAGUUUAAGUCAGACAUAAUGAGAUAAUCAUGGUUAACAUACAUGGCAUUGUAAUCCAGGGCCUGGUCUGAGAGUGACAGAACUGUGAGUCCACCUGGAGCCAAGUAAUGGUUGAAGGCCCAAGAAAAGGUGCACUAGACAAGAUCAGGAGAGGCUGCAGGUGCAGUUUGUCUAGUGACUGUGACAGCUCCAUUGUUUUAAUGUCAGACAGAACAAGGCCCUGAAUAAGACACUAUCAGGCACUGGUAGGUCAAUGCAUGACAGUAAAUAACUUAAUAGUGCUAUCCAUCUCUGUUGUCUGUGGUUCUGUCUAAGCUGAGCUUAACUGGAACAGAUGGACGUUCCCUAGAAGGCCAGAGCCCCUUCUGGCUGUCAGGGGCAUAUAUGACUGACCAUAGUGACGAGCACCAGGUAAAAAUAAGAAAAAGUAAGUCAUCUGCCCCAGCUUGUGCCUGUUUAGCUAUUUUUUACUUGGAUCUUACUACAAUGUUAAAUACUGCUAAAAGCUAGGUCUGUGCGGCUAUCUGAACUGGCUUUUUAUAGUAAAUCUGUAAGUUAAACACGCAGUUUGCGGAAGUACAACCAGUAAGAACCUUUUCUUUAAAAACUGACCCACAACUUGCCAGAGGAAAAACUCCAUAUUCCCUCCCUUGCUCUGUUGUGGCCUCUCUCUUAUUUUCUGAAAACUAGAAAAUUUUUAAAAGCCUUUAAAAAUAAAAUAAAAUUAGGAGUGAUUGAAAAUUGCUACCAUGUGAUGCCUGUCUGAUGGGAUCCAUGGGAAAGCAGACAGUGACUCUUAGUCCAGCUUCUAGUGGACACGUGUUUACCAUAAAGCCAUCUCAGCAGAGAUGUCAAGGAGUGAAUGGGGAAUGAACCC